rnacentral:tRNA from 1 species
GUGCCCGUAGCUCAAUUGGAUAGAGCACGUGACUACGGAUCACGGGGUUGGGGGUUCGAGUCCCUCCGGGCACG